GUGACAGCCGCCGCGGUAAUACGAAGGGGGCUAGCGUUGCUCGGAAUCACUGGGCGUAAAGGGCGCGUAGGCGGCUGUUCAAGUCGGGGGUGAAAGCCUGUGGCUCAACCACAGAAUGGCCUUCGAUAUUGGACGGCUCGAGACCGGAAGAGGUCAGUGGAACUGCGAGUGUAGAGGUGAAAUUCGUAGAUAUUCGCAAGAACACCAGUGGCGAAGGCGGCUGACUGGUCCGGUUCUGACGCUGAGGCGCGAAAGCGUGGGGAGCAAACAGGAUUAGAAACCCUGGUAGUCC
rnacentral:rRNA from 1 species